AUUGAACGCUGGCGGCAUGCCUAACACAUGCAAGUCGAACGAAGUCUUCGGACUUAGUGGCGCACGGGUGCGUAACGCGUGGGAAUCUGCCCUUGGGUACGGAAUAACUCAGAGAAAUUUGUGCUAAUACCGUAUAAUGUCUUCGGACCAAAGAUUUAUCGCCCAAGGAUGAGCCCGCGUAAGAUUAGCUAGUUGGUGGGGUAAAAGCCUACCAAGGCGACGAUCUUUAGCUGGUCUGAGAGGAUGAUCAGCCACACUGGGACUGAGACACGGCCCAGACUCCUACGGGAGGCAGCAGUGGGGAAUAUUGGACAAUGGGCGAAAGCCUGAUCCAGCAAUGCCGCGUGAGUGAUGAAGGCCUUAGGGUUGUAAAGCUCUUUUACCCGGGAUGAUAAUGACAGUACCGGGAGAAUAAGCUCCGGCUAACUCCGUGCCAGCCGCCGCGGUAACAC
rnacentral:rRNA from 1 species